rnacentral:lncRNA from 1 species
CUCCUGGAACAAGUGGCAGGAUAAUAUCUUGUACCUGUUGGAGAGACUAUAGCCUGCAAACAGUAAGAAGAUUCCCCUCUCUUUCUCAGUGGAUGUAAAGCAGUGAUUCUGCAUAAAUGUAUCAACACUAUAGCUCAACUCCUUCUGGAGUGGACUUCCCCUAGACCUGGAGAGCGAGUCCUGCCUAGCAUACACGGCCUGAAGUUCGAGAUCUCUUCCAAUUCAGGUCAACAAGAAAACUCAAUUCCUCUUCAGGAAGUUAAGUGACUUAAAGAUUACAUAAGAGCUAAGAAGACAAGCCAGCUAAGCAUGUUCAAGACCGGGCUUUUUGAAACUGCACUAAUUGAUCAUAACGAGACGGGGUUUCACCAUGUUGCCCAGGCUGGUCUAGAAGUCCUGGGCUGAAGCGAUCCGACCGCCUCCCAAAGUGCUGGGAUUACAGGAGUGAGCCAUCUCGCCCAGCCGAAAAAGUGUUUUUUGAUCUUAAAAUCUUACGUGGAAUGAAAGUGAACAAUGAGGCAAUGAAAGUGGAAGUUUCUCUUAAGCAAACACAGAAGUCAACCAUUCCAGCUUUCUAAGGCGUAGAGGCCCCCGGUUUAUCUUGGAACCUCAAGAGGAGAGAAAAUUCACCCAACUCACAGGAAUGUGGAAUCCAGACCAAAGGAAAGCCAGCCAGUCUAUUUUCAUGGCUGUUAGGUACAAUUUGUAUGCUUGGGAGCUGUGGAGUUGCUGUAUUCUGUCAUAAGGGCAGAUCAGCAGAGAAAGCUAAAGCAAGAGGAGAAUAGUAACAUGGACACAAGGCAGAAAUGCAGAGAUCAAAGAUGGAAAGAGAAUAUAUCCCAGAUUCCUAAUGGCUUUCCAAAACUGAUCCCCUUCUUUCUUGUUCCCCAAAUACUGCCCUCUUCAUAUGGCCCUUAAAUUCUUGUAAUAAAUUCUCCCUUCUUUGUUUAGGCCAUUUCAAAUUGGUUUCUGUUUCUUGCAACCAGACACCUUAAAAAAAAUAAACUCAAAUUUUCUUUCAUGCUCCCUUUUUGCAUGGUAAUUAAGAGCAUAGAAUGUGGAGUAAAAGAGAUAAAACUUUAAAUUUCAGCUCCUUCAUUCACUAGUUGAAAACCUAGUAGAAAAACUUAAUCACUUAAACUCUCUGAGCUUUAAUUUCCAUAUCUGGAAAAGGGGAAUACUUUUAGCUAUCUAAAAGCAUAUGGGUGUCAAACAAAUAUAACGACGUAUAUAAAAUGCUAAUUAUAGUACCUGGCACAAAAGAAAUACUUAAUUAGUGGUAAUAAUGAUUACAUAUUUAUUCAAUAAAUACUUAUCGAUUACUAACUAUACAAAAGUUAGAUGACCUGAAGUGUACAAAUAUAUUCAAGAUUUAAUCUCUGCUCUCAGACAUGUACAUAAAUAUCCAUAAUAGAAGACAUUAUAGAAUAAUAAAGGGUACAUGAAUGUUUUUAAAAAACAAGGACUCUAGGUCAUAAUCAAAGAAAUGCAAAUUAA